UACAGAGGGUGCUAGCGUUGUUCGGAAUCAUUGGGCGUAAAGGGCGUGUAGGCGGUUUGUUAAGUCAUGUGUGAAAUCCCUCGGCUCAACCGGGGAAGGACGCAUGAAACUGGCAAGCUAGAGUACCAAAGAGGGGGGUGGAAUUCCCGGUGUAGCGGUGAAAUGCGCAGAUAUCGGGAAGAACACCCGUGGCGAAGGCGGCUCUCUGGGACGGUACUGACGCUGAGACGCGAAAGCGUGGGGAGCGAACAGG
rnacentral:rRNA from 1 species